GAUGAACGCUGGCGGCGUGCUUAACACAUGCAAGUCGAACGGAAAGGCUCCUGCUUGCAGGGGUACUCGAGUGGCGAACGGGUGAGUAACACGUGGGUGAUCUGCCCUGCACUUCGGGAUAAGCCUGGGAAACUGGGUCUAAUACCGGAUAGGACCACAUUUUGGAUGGUGUGGUGGAAAGUUUUUCGGUGUGGGAUGAGCUCGCGGCCUAUCAGCUUGUUGGUGGGGUAAUGGCCUACCAAGGCGUCGACGGGUAGCCGGCCUGAGAGGGUGUACGGCCACAUUGGGACUGAGAUACGGCCCAGACUCCUACGGGAGGCAGCAGUGGGGAAUAUUGCACAAUGGGCGCAAGCCUGAUGCGGCGACGCCGCGUGGGGGAUGACGGCCUUCGGGUUGUAAACUCCUUUCGCUAGGGACGAAGCGCAAGUGACGGUACCUGGAGAAGAAGCACCGGCUAACUACGUG
rnacentral:rRNA from 1 species